AAAAGGUUCAUUUGGGUUUCUCCAUGCCAUCUUACGGAAAAACCUGAAUGACCCUUUUGG
ensembl:miRNA